CAAAAAAUAGUUUAAUUUAAAAUGAUAAUUUUGGGAAUUAUCGAUAUUUAUAUUUUUUA
rnacentral:tRNA from 1 species